AUUGAACGCUGGCGGCAGGCCUAACACAUGCAAGUCGAGCGGGGUUUUCGGACCUAGCGGCGGACGGGUUGAGUAAUGCGUAGGAAGCUGCCCGGAUAGAGGGGGGGUUACCAGUUGGAAACCGACUGUUAAUACCGGCAUAAUGUCUACGGACCAAAGUGUGGGACCUUCGGGCCACAUGCUAUCGGAUGCGCCUACGU
rnacentral:rRNA from 1 species